GUCGCUCUCUCUGUGGAGUACAGAGACUUUCCUACAAGAACCAUCCCUGCCCUGGGGGCAGCGGCUCCUCAGCUUAGGGACUGCCGAUGAAGAGCUCCAGGCCACUGCUGUCCAGCCUGCCAGACUGGAAGGAGCUGGUUCCUGCAGGCGUGGGGGGUAGAGACCAGUGUUUGCUCACAACACAUGGUUGGUAAGGAAAAUUUUUUUCCCCUUCUCAAGCUUACCCUGGAGCCUUUCCAGGAGAGAACCACACAGGGAAUCGUCCCCAGAAGGAGAGGGGAGGUGUCAGGAAGACAAAGCUCAGCCAAGCGUUUCCAGAAGGUUCCAAGGGGAAGCCUGCGAGAGGCCAAGUCCAGUGCCAGGGAGGUGCGCCCAGGCCAGUGACCUCGCCCUGCACCUUCCCUCCUGCCUGCUGUCUUCCUCCAGUCACUGUUCUGUGACAAUAACUGCAGAUGGAAGAUGACUAACCCACUCCCGGGCAGAGAACGGGGCUUGAGGACCGCCCCCACCCACAGCAUCCUCAUAGACAUCCAGAAACCAAGGCUUCAAUGACUGGCUCUUUUAUUUUCUUCCUCGGUCAGCUCCACAGAGCAUUCCUACAGGCACAGAGGGAAAAAUCGUUACAUCUUUAAAGCUCAGUCUGCCCAAAAUAUAUAUUCUGUGAGCUCAUGCCAUGGCCCUUGGAGAGAAGGCAAGCACUGGAAAUGAACUUAAGGUCAGAGCUGAACGUGAACCUGAAACAUAGCACGGCAAGGCUUUGCAGAGGGCUGGGGUGACCCGUGAGGUCGGAAAUAUUCAAGUCCUGUGAGUGAGGUUGCAGACGGAAAGCUGGGGUGCAGUCAGUGGCUCUCAAUCUCCUGCUUGAUUUCAGAGAUGUAUGGAUGGUCCUUGCCGUGAGCUACCUCCAUGAUGGCAAUGGCCUAGGGCAGAGCAAAGGACAUGGGGUGGAUGAGCCCGACAUCUGACAUCGCUGCUGCCUGUCCCACAGUCCCAGCCUACAGCACCCAGCCCAGCAGGGGUGCAUGCUGCCAGUCAGUGCUUCAGAGCCUGGCGGGCAAACCACCUCUCACAGGCUCCUCCUCACCCUGCAAACAUACUCAGGAGAGACAAAGAAGGGCUCACGUCGUCCCCACACGCUCUGAACCCACUGUCCUAGGCGUUAUGGACGCCAUGGUGCAUUCCAAUGGUGACCUAACCAGGUGCUCUUCCCUGGUGUCACUGAGAAAACAGAUGUGACAUCAACAGAAAACCACACAGCUCACACUUUAUCCUAGUGGGACCCUGGGCCUUUAAUCUCCACAGACGCUUUGGGAGAUGUGGGGACUGGGCUAGUCUGUGGCUGCAGUAUUUAUUUAUUUGUACAAAGUGAAGCAACAGACCAACUCUGAAGUCACACUGUGCUGUUACCGUCCAUGUAAAACACAAGGAGAUUCCAUAUCUCAGGAGGUCGUCUUCAUGCCUCCAUAUUUAUAAGCACACCUGUAUGCGAGCAAGCACGGGCACACGCAAUAGAUGGUAAACUCGUGGGAGUCCCUGCACUUUCUGCAUAGGUGUUUCGGUCCCAGCAUGGCUGAUGAGAUUAAAGCUUCCAGCGUCAAAGGUCCUAUAUGAAGGACCACCACACACCCUAGACUCCUCAGGUAACUCGGAAAGGCUAUCUCAAUACUGUAAAUAUGACUGGCUUUGAUGAAUGGGGGGUGGUGGUUAAGUUCAUUUUAGAAUUUCCCCAGGCCACGCAGUCACACUGAGUGGCUCUCCAGAUCCAACCCUUUGACUUUAGACUAGGUAUUGGCCUCUCGGUCCUAAGAGGCAGGCAAGUGGAGAGUAGAACUCUUUUCACAGCAAUCCUAGCUCAGCCCUCUUGCUACGUGCACUCCUAUCCAGAGGGCCUGGGCUAGACCAAGGGUAAGGCACCCCAGGAUGACAUGACCAGAGGGGAGUCCACAGCAAGUCACCCUCAGCUUCUGCAGCCACUGGCCUCCCAGGGCACAAGGGCACAUGAGAAACAGACCUGACUAACUGCUUGGACACCCGGCCUUAAGCCCCAAACGUACCUUCUUCAGGGCCUUCUCGCCGGCCGCUUUGUUUUCCAGACCCAUGUACAGUCUUCCCAGCUUUAGCCACAUGGAAGCCACGUUGAGGGAGUACACGGGGUAGUGUUUACUGGGAAGGAAGAGAUGGCAGGUCACCAUGUCAGAGUCUGCCGGGCUCUCCCCAAAGCCCACCCGGUGCCGGGUAGAGUGUGUGGUGGGCUAGUGUGCACUAUCAGAGGCACUGUGAACGCCCCGCCACCGUUUCCUUUUGGAUGAGGCUGCAUCAAAGCUGAUGGGGAAAGCUUACCGUGAAGCGUGCAUCAACACAACUUCAGCCCUAACCCAGACUCCUCUGUUUCAGCUGUCCUCAGACCAAGGCGCCAGGGAAAUGUCAGAGCAAAUGUUGCUUCCACACAGACGGCAAAGAGGCCUCCUCCCUCCCACUAGGCAGACAGGUCACAUGCAUGUGCACACUCACAUAUAUUUGAGGGACCCAACUGUCUGCUAAACCCUGAGCCCUCUGAUUUCUUGGUCUGUCUGUCUUGCUCUCGCUCUCACUCUGCUCUGCUGUCUAGCAGAACUGUGUGUCCAGUUCAGGUUUUCUCUCUGGUUUAAACUCAGGUCUGCCUGAUGGAGUCUGCUCAAGAGCGACCCAUUUUUCUGGGAACAGAGCCCAGAGCCCAGGAUACAGCCGUUGUGGGUGAGUGAGUGUGCAAAUGUGGAAAAUGUGCAUCCUCCAGGCCAGUGUGCUCUAUUCUGUCUAUGCUGACACUCUGUCCCAAAGACUGAAGACAGAAUUCCCAGGCAGGAGGAGGCGUGCUGCCUACAGGAAGCCUUGGGUUGUGUAGCGCCGACCACCGUCCCCACAAAUCUGAGGCCUGGGAUGCUGUCUGCCUGGGUCCCUCUCUGAGAGGAAGGUUUGAGGCCAGAGAACUUCCCCAUCCUUCUACAGGCCAGGGAAAGGUCAGAGGUCUCCAACUUGGUUCAUUCCAGGAGCAAGUUUGAACACCUGGUGUCCUCUUUGGCUCCCCCUGCUGGCUAUCCAGAGCACAGUGGGUAAACAGAUGGCAGAGAUCAGGGGAUGUGGGGGCCGACCUCACUGCAAGUUUCCAGUCCUCUUAGACUCACCAGGAUCACCAGGCAUGUUCUGGGGGAGGGGACUUCCAGCCUAAUGCUCACACUGCUCCAUAGCUCAUCCCCCUAAUGUGCAGGCCUUGGGGAGCUCUGCAGUGAGGGGUCUAAGCCUCCGAGUGGCUGGCCACACAGGAUGACAGUGCUGUGCAUUCCAACCUCCCACAUUAACGUCUGGUGACCCGCUAAGAUGGGCCAUUUCUCUGGCUCAGCCAUUAUUUCUACAAAUGGGAAUCUCAUCUUGUUUUAUUUGACUGAGCAGGAGACGACAGUAGCCACGGCCAGACCGUGAGUCCUAGAGGCUGGUGAAAUGCAGCUGGGAUUGCAGUGUGCAGAGGCAGCAGGCAGUGUGUGGGAGGAGGUUUGGGAAGCCCCCGCCCUCUGCCUCCACUCACCAGGUCUAAAGUGUCACUUAACACAGAAGAAGCAGGUGGCACAGAUGUGAACGACUGACUGACUUCUGUGGGUAGCCUGUGACACUGUGCCUCAGGAGGGAGCUCCCUGGCAGGACAGAGGAGGCCAGCUUGGUGGGGAGAAGCCCAGGACCUGCAUGCAGAUGUGCCCACCCCGAGCAAGCCACCCAGUUCCGCCCGACGCUCACCUGUACGGCUUAAUGAUCUUCUGCCCGUAUUUCAGGGCUCCCUCCCAGUCCUGCAUGUACAGGCAGACGCCCAUGGCCUGGUACAUCAUGUGCAGCAUGUACACAUUGCUGUCCUCAAACACGGAGCUCAUCUUCUCCUGGCUAAGCUCGCAGAUCUCCAGCAGCUCACUAGGGGGUGCUGAAGCGUCAAGGAAAACAGGCAGCAUCCCAGGUGGGGUGGGGCAUCCCAGGCAGGGGCAGGCUGGGCCAUCUCCUCCCCUCUACCCACCCCUCCCCCCUCCCUCCCUCCCUCCAGGGUAAAGUAUUGAUGGGGAAAAUGAAGUCAAGGGAAUCAAAAUUCCCUUGAAGAAACAAACUAGGGAAACACAAAGAGAGGCCUUCUUGGCCCUGCGGACGGACCAACAGCUAGGAUGGAGUCCUUCAUCUUCGCUAAAUUCAAAUCCUCAUCCAGGCUGGGGGCCUGAGCAACCCAGUACCUCACGUGAGGAAGCUGUGCCGGCACAGAAACAUUUUCCAAGUACAGAGAGCAACCCUAGCCCAGGCUCCCAAGAGGUUUCUUGCAUUAGGAAGCAAUGUGCCUCAAGGGCCUCAGGGUGCAGGCUGCCACUCUGGCUGUUCAGGAGGCCAAGGAGUUAGGAACUCAAGUUCAAAGCCUGCCUGGGCUGUGGAAGGUGUUCACUAUCAGCCUGGACCAUGCCCUGUAAACACGACAUGUUUCAAAAUAAAACCUGAAGACUUCAAGCAACACCUGAGUUACUGCCCAGCCUACCAUCCUCCU
ensembl:antisense Gm37422 predicted gene, 37422